GAAAGCCCCCUUCGGGGGGCAAGUAGAGUGGCGCACGGGUGAGUAACACGUAGGUAAUCUACCUUUGGAUGGGGAAUAACAACCGGAAACGGUUGCUAAUACCGCAUAAUGCAGCGGCACCUAAUGGUGACAGUUGUUAAAGCGGGGGAUCGCAAGACCUCGCGUCUGAAGAGGAGCCUGCGGCAGAUUAGCUAGUUGGUAAGGUAAAGGCUUACCAAGGCGAUGAUCUGUAGCCGGCCUGAGAGGGCGGUCGGCCACACUGACACUGACAUACGGGUCAGACUCCUACGGGAGGCAGCAGUCGGGAAUUUUGGGCAAUGGGCGAAAGCCUGACCCAGCAACGCCGCGUGAAGGAUGAAAUCCCUCGGGAUGUAAACUUCGCAAGAACGGGAAGAAUAAGUAAGAGCUAACAUCUCUUAUGAUGACGGUACUGUUUGUAAGCUCCGGCUAACUCCGUGCCAGCAGCCGCGGUAAUACGGGGGGAGCAAGCGUUGUUCGGAUUUACUGGGCGUAAAGGGCGCGUAGGCGGCCACCGCAAGUCGACUGUGAAAUCUCCGGGCUUAACUCGGAAAGGUCAGCCGAUACUGCGGGGCUAGAGUGCAGAAGGGGCAACUGGAAUUCUCGGUGUAGCGGUGAAAUGCGUAGAUAUCGAGAGGAACACCUGCGGCGAAGGCGGGUUGCUGGGCUGACACUGACGCUGAGGCGCGAAAGCUAGGGGAGCGAACGGGAUUAGAUACCCCGGUAGUCCUAGCCUUAAACGAUGAAUGCUUGGUGUC
rnacentral:rRNA from 1 species